AUGAAGAACAUCGGCAAAGGACUGUUGGGAGGCAACAAGGUGUUGAUAUGCUUGUGGGCCUUGUGGCUGGUGACGCUGCUUGUCUUGUCAUCUGAAAAGAUGGGAUCGGAUGCCUGUGAUAGACAAGUUAGCAAGACAUGGCCCAACACAACAUGUAUCGUUCGCGGCACCUGCAACAAGUACUGCAGAAGGGAGAACUUUGACCGCGGCAUCUGCAAAGAACUAAAUUAUUGCUUCUGCUACAGGAACUGCACCACUGAAUCCAUCUAG
rnacentral:rRNA from 1 species